rnacentral:lncRNA from 1 species
UUGAUCCAGGCACUGAUGGAAUGUCUAACCUUGAAGCACCUACCUCUGCCAUAGACACUCUCGAAAAGAAGUGGGGCAUAUCAACUAUUUUUAAAGUUAAUCCGAAUGAUUUGCAUGAAGCCGAGCUAGCUGAACCUAAGAUUGCUACACCAUUGAAUGUUACUGUCCAACCUCUACUGAUGGAGGAGAAAUCAUUGCUAAAUCAUGAGGAAUUAAAAGUUGUGACAUGUG